GACGAACGCUGGCGGCGUGCCUAAUACAUGCAAGUCGAGCGGAGUUUUUAAAAGCUUGCUUUUAAAAACUCAGCGGCGGACGGGUGAGUAACACGUGGGCAACCUGCCCUGUAGACUGGGAUAACUUCGGGAAACCGAAGCUAAUACCGGAUAAUCAUAGAAGUUGCAUAGCUUCUAUGUAAAAGUUGGGUUUACCUAACACUACAGGAUGGGCCCGCGUCGCAUUAGCUAGUUGGUAAGGUAACGGCUUACCAAGGCGACGAUGCGUAGCCGACCUGAGAGGGUGAUCGGCCACACUGGGACUGAGACACGGCCCAGACUCCUACGGGAGGCAGCAGUAGGGAAUCUUCCGCAAUGGACGAAAGUCUGACGGAGCAACGCCGCGUGAGCGAUGAAGGCCUUCGGGUCGUAAAGCUCUGUUGUUAGGGAAGAACAAGUGCUAUUCGAAUAGGGUGGCACCCUUGAACGGUACCUAAACGAGAA
rnacentral:rRNA from 1 species